rnacentral:rRNA from 1 species
GUUACCUACAUCUGUUAAGGAUGUGAGGAGGAAGACGCAGUGAACUGAAACAUCUAAGUAGCUGCAGGAAGAGAAAGCAAAAGCGAUUGCCUUAGUAGCGGCGAGCGAAACGGCAGAAGGGCAAACCGAAGAGUUUACUCUUCGGGGUUGUAGGACUGCAAUGUGGACUCAAAGAUUAUAGAAGAAUGAUUUGGGAAGAUCAGCCAAAGAGAGUAAUAGCCUCGUAUUUAAAAUAGUCUUUGUACUUAGCAGUAUCCUGAGUACGGCGGGACACGUGAAAUCCCGUCGGAAUCUGGGAGGACCAUCUCCCAACCCUAAAUACUCCCUAGUGACCGAUAGUGAACCAGUACCGUGAGGGAAAGGUGAAAAGCACCCCGGGAGGGGAGUGAAAUAGAACCUGAAACCGUGUGCCUACAACAAGUUCGAGCCCGUUAAUGGGUGAGAGCGUGCCUUUUGUAGAAUGAACCGGCGAGUUACGUUAUGAUGCGAGGUUAAGUUGAAGAGACGGAGCCGUAGGGAAACCGAGUCUGAAUAGGGCGCCUUAGUAUCAUGACGUAGACCCGAAACCAUGUGACCUACCCAUGAGCAGGUUGAAGGUGCGGUAAGACGCACUGGAGGACCGAACCAGGGCACGUUGAAAAGUGCUUGGAUGACUUGUGGGUAGCGGAGAAAUUCCAAACGAACUUGGAGAUAGCUGGUUCUCUCCGAAAUAGCUUUAGGGCUAGCGUCGACAUUAGAGAUUCUUGGAGGUAGAGCACUGUUUGGGUGAGGGGUCCAUCCCGGAUUACCAAUCUCAGAUAAACUCCGAAUGCCAAUGAAUUAUGGUCGGCAGUCAGACUGCGAGUGCUAAGAUCCGUAGUCGAAAGGGAAACAGCCCAGACCACCAGCUAAGGUCCCAAAAUAAUUGUUAAGUGGAAAAGGAUGUGGGGUUGCACAGACAACUAGGAUGUUAGCUUAGAAGCAGCUAUUCAUUCAAAGAGUGCGUAAUAGCUCACUAGUCGAGUGACCCUGCGCCGAAAAUGUACCGGGGCUAAAACAAUUUACCGAAGCUGUGGAUACCUUUAUAGGUAUGGUAGGAGAGCGUUCUAUGUGUGAUGAAGGUAUACCGUGAGGAGUGCUGGAACGCAUAGAAGUGAGAAUGCCGGUAUGAGUAGCGAAAGACAGGUGAGAAUCCUGUCCACCGUAAGACUAAGGUUUCCAGGGGAAGGCUCGUCCGCCCUGGGUUAGUCGGGACCUAAGGAGAGACCGAAAGGUGUAUCCGAUGGACAACAGGUUGAUAUUCCUGUACUAGAGUAUGUAGUGAUGGAGGGACGCAGUAGGCUAACUAAAGCAGACGAUUGGAAGAGUCUGUCUAAGCAGUGAGGUGUGAAUUGAGUCAAAUGCUUAAUUCUAUAACAUUGAGCUGUGAUGGGGAGCGAAGUUUAGUAGCGAAGUUAGUGACGUCACACUGCCAAGAAAAGCUUCUAGCGUUUAAACAUACUCUACCCGUACCGCAAACCGACACAGGUAGUCGAGGCGAGUAGCCUCAGGUGAGCGAGAGAACUCUCGUUAAGGAACUCGGCAAAAUGACCCCGUAACUUCGGGAGAAGGGGUGCUGACUUAAAGUCAGCCGCAGUGAAUAGGCCCAAGCAACUGUUUAUCAAAAACACAGCUCUCUGCUAAAUCGUAAGAUGAUGUAUAGGGGGUGACGCCUGCCCGGUGCUGGAAGGUUAAGAGGAGUGCUUAGCGUAAGCGAAGGUAUGAAUUGAAGCCCCAGUAAACGGCGGCCGUAACUAUAACGGUCCUAAGGUAGCGAAAUUCCUUGUCGGGUAAGUUCCGACCCGCACGAAAGGCGUAAUGAUUUGGGCACUGUCUCAACGAGAGACUCGGUGAAAUUUUAGUACCUGUGAAGAUGCAGGUUACCCGCGACAGGACGGAAAGACCCCAUGGAGCUUUACUGCAGUUUGAUAUUGAGUGUCUGUACCACAUGUACAGGAUAGGUAGGAGUCUAAGAGAUCGGGACGCCAGUUUCGAAGGAGACGCUGUUGGGAUACUACCCUUGUGUUAUGGCCACUCUAACCCAGAUAGGUGAUCCCUAUCGGAGACAGUGUCUGACGGGCAGUUUGACUGGGGCGGUCGCCUCCUAAAAGGUAACGGAGGCGCCCAAAGGUUCCCUCAGAAUGGUUGGAAAUCAUUCGCAGAGUGUAAAGGUAUAAGGGAGCUUGACUGCGAGAGCUACAACUCGAGCAGGGACGAAAGUCGGGCUUAGUGAUCCGGUGGUUCCGUAUGGAAGGGCCAUCGCUCAACGGAUAAAAGCUACCCUGGGGAUAACAGGCUUAUCUCCCCCAAGAGUUCACAUCGACGGGGAGGUUUGGCACCUCGAUGUCGGCUCGUCGCAUCCUGGGGCUGUAGUCGGUCCCAAGGGUUGGGCUGUUCGCCCAUUAAAGCGGCACGCGAGCUGGGUUCAGAACGUCGUGAGACAGUUCGGUCCCUAUCCGUCGCGGGCGUAGGAAAUUUGAGAGGAUCUGCUCCUAGUACGAGAGGACCAGAGUGGACUUACCGCUGGUGUACCAGUUGUCUUGCCAAAGGCAUCGCUGGGUAGCUAUGUAGGGAAGGGAUAAACGCUGAAAGCAUCUAAGUGUGAAACCCACCUCAAGAUGAGAUUUCCCAUGAUUAUAUAUCAGUAAGAGCCCUGAGAGAUGAUCAGGUAGAUAGGUUAGAAGUGGAAGUGUGGCGACACAUGUAGCGGACUAAUACUAAUAGCUCGAGGACUUAUCCA